UACGAGGGGGGCAAGCGUUGUUCGGAAUUAUUGGGCGUAAAGGGCGCGUAGGCGGUGCGGUAAGUCACCUGUGAAAUCUCCUGGCUCAACUGGGAGUCUGCAGGCGAAACUGCCGUGCUGGAGUAUGGGAGAGGUGCGUGGAAUUCCUGGUGUAGCGGUGAAAUGCGUAGAUAUCAGGAGGAACACCUGUGGCGAAAGCGGCGCACUGGACCAUAACUGACGCUGAGGCGCGAAAGCUAGGGGAGAAAACAGG
rnacentral:rRNA from 1 species